UUUGGCUGGUGGACAUCUCGUCCAAACGCCAGCCCGAAGUCCAACUAAAAUUCUUUGUUUGUGAAGUCUGAGUCGAUAUUCAAUAACUAAAACUUUCAACAACGGGAUCUCUUGGUUCUGGCAUCGAUGAAGAACGCAGCGAAAUGCGAUAAGUAAUGUGAAUUGCAGAAUUCCGUGAAUCAUCGAAUCUUUGAACGCACAUUGCGCCCUUUGGUAAUCCGAAGGGCAUGCCUGUUCGAGCGUCAUUGCAACCCCUCAAGCAUUGCUUGGUAUUGGUUAUCGUCCCCGGGACGAGGCCGAAAAUCUGUGGCGGUCCAGCGAGACUUCAAGCGAUCAAGAUUUUUCAUCACGCUUUGCAAGCACCUCAUUGAUCCGGCCAGCUAAAACAUUUCUACGAUUGACCUCGGAUCAGGUAGGGAUACCCGCUGAACUUAAGCAUAUCAAUAAGCGGAGGAAAAGAAACCAACAGGGAUUGCCUUAGUAACGGCGAGUGAAGCGGCAACAGCUCAAAUUUGAAAUCUGGCCUCGUCGAGGUCCGAGUUGUAAUUUGGAGAGGGUGUUUCGAAUAAGACGCCGGCCUAAGUUCCUUGGAACAGGACGUCAUAGAGGGUGAGAAUCCCGUAUGCGGCCGGUGAUCGAUUUCAUGUGAAACCCCUUCGACGAGUCGAGUUGUUUGGGAAUGCAGCUCAAAAUGGGUGGUAUAUUUCAUCUAAAGCUAAAUACCGGCCAGAGACCGAUAGCGCACAAGUAGAGUGAUCGAAAGAUGAAAAGCACUUUGGAAAGAGAGUUAAAAAGUACGUGAAAUUGUUGAAAGGGAAGCGCUUGCAACCAGACUCGUCUCCGGGUGUUCAGCCCUCGUUCUCGAGGGUGCACUCUCCCGGUUACGGGCCAGCAUCGGUUC
rnacentral:rRNA from 1 species